rnacentral:tRNA from 1 species
GCGGUUGUGGCUCAGCGGUAGAGUGCUCGCCUAGCAUGCUUGAGGCCCUGGGUUCGAUCCUCAGCACCACA